rnacentral:rRNA from 1 species
GUGGGGAAUUUUGCGCAAUGGGGGAAACCCUGACGCAGCAACGCCGCGUGGAGGAUGAAAUCCCUUGGGAUGUAAACUCCUUUCGAUCGGGAAGAUAAUGACGGUACCGAGAGAAGAAGCCCCGGCUAACUUCGUGCCAGCAGCCGCGGUAAUACGAGGGGGGCAAGCGUUGUUCGGAAUUAUUGGGCGUAAAGGGUGCGUAGGCGGUUUGAUAAGUUUGAUGUGAAAUCUCUGGGCUCAACCCAGAGUCUGCAUCGAAAACUGUCGGGCUUGAGUAUGGGAGAGGUGAGUGGAAUUUCCGGUGUAGCGGUGAAAUGCGUAGAUAUCGGAAGGAACACCUGUGGCGAAAGCGGCUCACUGGUCCGGAACUGACGCUGAGGCACGACAGCGUGGGGAGCAAACAGG